rnacentral:rRNA from 1 species
GUAGGUCCCGAGCGUUGUCCGGAUUUAUUGGGCGUAAAGCGAGCGCAGGCGGUUUGAUAAGUCUGAAGUAAAAGGCUGUGGCUUAACCAUAGUAUGCUUUGGAAACUGUCAAACUUGAGUGCAGAAGGGGAGAGUGGAAUUCCAUGUGUAGCGGUGAAAUGCGUAGAUAUAUGGAGGAACACCGGUGGCGAAAGCGGCUCUCUGGUCUGUAACUGACGCUGAGGCUCGAAAGCGUGGGGAGCAAAC